rnacentral:SRP_RNA from 1 species
GCCAGGCACGGUGGCGCAUGCCUGUAGUCCCAGCUACUCGGGAGGCUGAGGUGGGAGGAUCGCUUGAGCCCAGGAGUUCUGGGCUAUAGUGCGCUAUGCCAAUCGGGUGUCCACACUAAGUUCAGCAUCAUUAUGGUCACCUCCCGGGAGUGGGGGACCACCAGGUUGCCUAAGCAAGGGUGAACCGGCCCAGGUCAGAAAUGGAGCAGGUCAAAACUAUAUAUCAUUCCCCGCCCCCCACUUGAGGGUUGGCUGGUCCUGUGAAUAUUAUGGAAUAUCAUUCCUGU